GCCGAGGUGGUGAAACUGGUAGACACGCGACGCUUAAAACGUUGUGAGCCCUAAUCGGCUCUUGUGGGUUCGAUUCCCACCCUCGGCA
rnacentral:tRNA from 1 species